rnacentral:rRNA from 1 species
GUACACUCCUGCGGGAGGCAGCAGUGGGGAAUAUUGCACAAUGGGCGCAAGCCUGAUGCAGCCAUGCCGCGUGUAUGAAGAAGGCCUUCGGGUUGUAAAGUACUUUCAGCGGGGAGGAAGGCGAUAAGGUUAAUAACCUUGUCGAUUGACGUUACCCGCAGAAGAAGCACCGGCUAACUCCGUGCCAGCAGCCGCGGUAAUACGGAGGGUGCAAGCGUUAAUCGGAAUUACUGGGCGUAAAGCGCACGCAGGCGGUCUGUCAAGUCGGAUGUGAAAUCCCCGGGCUCAACCUGGGAACUGCAUUCGAAACUGGCAGGCUAGAGUCUUGUAGAGGGGGGUAGAAUUCCAGGUGUAGCGGUGAAAUGCGUAGAGAUCUGGAGGAAUACCGGUGGCGAAGGCGGCCCCCUGGACAAAGACUGACGCUCAGGUGCGAAAGCGUGGGGAGCAAACAGGAUUAGAAACCCUGGUAGUCCCAU